ACGAACGCUGGCGGCGUGGAUAAGACAUGCAAGUCGAGCGCGACUUAUUCUGUAGCAAUACAGGGUCAGUUGAGCGGCGAAAGGGUUGCGUAACCACGUGGGUAAUCUGCCAUGAAGUUUGGGAUAACUCGCUGAAAGGCGAGCUAAUACCCGGAUGUGGUUUCGGAGAGGCAUCUCUCUGCAACUAAAGUUGGGGACCGUAAGGCCUGACGCUUCAUGAUGAGCCCGCGGUCUAUCAGCUAGUUGGUGAGGUAACGGCUUACCAAGGCUAAGACGGAUAGCUGGUCUGAGAGGACGACCAGCCACACUGGGAACUGAGACACGGGUCCAGACACCUACGGGUGGCAGCAAGUCGAGAAUUUUUCUCAAUGGGGGAAACCCUGAAGGAGCGAACGCCGCGUGGGGGAUGAAUGGGCUUCGGGCCCGUAAACCCCUGUCAUUUUGCGAACAAACCUUACGUUUUAACAGAAACGUGAGCUGAUUGUAGCGAAAGAGGAAGGGACGGCUAACUCUGUGCCAGCAGCCGCGGUAAUACAGAGGUCCCAAGCGUUGUUCGGAUUCACUGGGCGUAAAGGGUGCGGUAGGUGGUGAGGUAAGUUUGAUGUGAAAUCUCCGAGCUCAACUCGGAAAUGGCAUUGAAUACUAUCUUGCUGGAGGAGUGGAGGGGGGACUGGAAUACUUGGUGUAGCAGUGAAAUGCGUAGGUAUCAAGUGGAACCACCAGUUGGCGAAGGCGAAGUCCCUGGACACUUCCUGACACUGAGGCACGAAAGCUAGGGGAGCAAACAGGAUUAGAUACCCUGGUAGUCCUAGCCCUAAACUGUGCACGUUUGCUGUAAAAGGAAUCGACCCCCUUUUUGUGGCGAAGCUAAACGCGUGUUAAACGUGCCGCCUGGGGAGUACGGUCGCAAGAUUAAUAAAACUCAAAGAAAUUGACGGGGGGCCUGCACAAGCGGGGUGGAGUAUGUGGCUUAAUUCGAUGCAACGCGAAGAAACCUUACCCUGGCCUUGGACAUGCAAGUGGUAGAACCAUGAAAGUUGGGACGACCCCGCCAAGGGGGAGCCUUGCACAGGUGCUGCAUGGCUGUCGUCAGCUCGUGUCGUGAGAUGUUGGGUUAAGUCCCGCAACGAGCGCAAACCCCUGUGUCCUGUUGCCCACCCCGAUCGAGAGAUUGGAGCACUCUGGACAGACUGCCUCGCUUAAACGAGGAGGAAGGUGGGGAUGACGUCAAGUCAGGAUGGCCCUUACGGCCAGGGCUGCACACGUACUACAAUGCCCGGUACAAUGGGAAAGCGAAAACAGUGAUGUGGAGCAAAUCCCCUAAAAACCGGGCCCAGUUCAGAUUGUAGGCUGCAAACUCGCCUACAUGAAGCUGGAAUCGCUAGUAAUGGCGCAUCAGCUACGGCGCCGUGAAUACGUUCCCAGGCCUUGUACACACCGCCCGUCACAUCAUGAAAAGCCGUUUGUACCCGAAAGUCGUCGUGCUAACCGCAAGGAGGCAGACGCCGAAGGUAUGGAUGGUGAUUGGGAUG
rnacentral:rRNA from 1 species